rnacentral:tRNA from 1 species
AUUUAAAUAAUUUAAUAAAAAUAUUGAUUUGUGGAAUCAAAAAUAUGAUAUAUAUCAUUUUAAAUU